rnacentral:tRNA from 1 species
GCCGAGGUAGCCAAGGUGGUCACGGCGGGCGUCUGAAGAACGUCAGAUAUGUGUUCGACUCACAUCCUCGGCA